AAAUUGAAGAGUUUGAUCAUGGCUCAGAUUGAACGCUGGCGGCAGGCCUAACACAUGCAAGUCGAACGGUAACAGGAAACAGCUUGCUGUUUCGCUGACGAGUGGCGGACGGGUGAGUAAUGUCUGGGAAACUGCCUGAUGGAGGGGGAUAACUACUGGAAACGGUAGCUAAUACCGCAUAACGUCGCAAGACCAAAGAGGGGGACCUUCGGGCCUCUUGCCAUCGGAUGUGCCCAGAUGGGAUUAGCUUGUUGGUGGGGUAACGGCUCACCAAGGCGACGAUCCCUAGCUGGUCUGAGAGGAUGACCAGCCACACUGGAACUGAGACACGGUCCAGACUCCUACGGGAGGCAGCAGUGGGGAAUAUUGCACAAUGGGCGCAAGCCUGAUGCAGCCAUGCCGCGUGUAUGAAGAAGGCCUUCGGGUUGUAAAGUACUUUCAGCGGGGAGGAAGGGAGUAAAGUUAAUACCUUUGCUCAUUGACGUUACCCGCAGAAGAAGCACCGGCUAACUCCGUGCCAGCAGCCGCGGUAAUACGGAGGGUGCAAGCGUUAAUCGGAAUUACUGGGCGUAAAGCGCACGCAGGCGGUUUGUUAAGUCAGAUGUGAAAUCCCCGGGCUCAACCUGGGAACUGCAUCUGAUACUGGCAAGCUUGAGUCUCGUAGAGGGGGGUAGAAUUCCAGGUGUAGCGGUGAAAUGCGUAGAGAUCUGGAGGAAUACCGGUGGCGAAGGCGGCCCCCUGGACGAAGACUGACGCUCAGGUGCGAAAGCGUGGGGAGCAAACAGGAUUAGAUACCCUGGUAGUCCACGCCGUAAACGAUGUCGACUUGGAGGUUGUGCCCUUGAGGCGUGGCUUCCGGAGCUAACGCGUUAAGUCGACCGCCUGGGGAGUACGGCCGCAAGGUUAAAACUCAAAUGAAUUGACGGGGGCCCGCACAAGCGGUGGAGCAUGUGGUUUAAUUCGAUGCAACGCGAAGAACCUUACCUGGUCUUGACAUCCACAGAACUUUCCAGAGAUGGAUUGGUGCCUUCGGGAGCUGUGAGACAGGUGCUGCAUGGCUGUCGUCAGCUCGUGUUGUGAAAUGUUGGGUUAAGUCCCGCAACGAGCGCAACCCUUAUCCUUUGUUGCCAGCGGUCCGGCCGGGAACUCAAAGGAGACUGCCAGUGAUAAACUGGAGGAAGGUGGGGAUGACGUCAAGUCAUCAUGGCCCUUACGACCAGGGCUACACACGUGCUACAAUGGCGUAUACAAAGAGAAGCGACCUCGCGAGAGCAAGCGGACCUCAUAAAGUGCGUCGUAGUCCGGAUUGGAGUCUGCAACUCGACUCCAUGAAGUCGGAAUCGCUAGUAAUCGUGGAUCAGAAUGCCACGGUGAAUACGUUCCCGGGCCUUGUACACACCGCCCGUCACACCAUGGGAGUGGGUUGCAAAAGAAGUAGGUAGCUUAACCUUCGGGAGGGCGCUUACCACUUUGUGAUUCAUGACUGGGGUGAAGUCGUAACAAGGUAACCGUAGGGGAACCUGCGGUUGGAUCACCUCCUUACCUUAAAGAAGC
rnacentral:rRNA from 1 species